CGCAAAGGCAUAGUGCAGGUUCAGUAGCAUAGCCUGUGUGGCUUGUGGUUCAUGAAUCAGACUGCCUAAUCCCGGGAACCACAAGGGACAUCUGUAAAUCCAUUGGCCAGUUCCUGAGCUUCUUCUGUUUCAGAGCUAUGUUUCCCAGUGGGCUGCCACAUCUUUGGGUUUCCAGUACUUGGAAUUUUGCUUUCCAGUUGCAGAGCUAAGAAGCCAAUUCACAUUCCAUCGUUGUCCCAAAGUCUUUUUCCUAUUUUGAAUGCCCCAUCUUGUCUGGAUUUAUCAAGGGUCCACAGAUUUACAACUUGAGGUGGCCUGCACCAGACCCACGGGGCAAUAACAGUCUUCCAUUGAAUUCUUUAGCAGUUUCUACAAUUGCAUAAGUUAACAAGAUCAACCUUGCUGGGAAAUGAACAAGCGACCAGUUUUGUAGGCUCCUACCAGUGAAAGCCUCCUCACAACUCUCUUCUUCUCCCCAAGGACUGCGUGCAAUUCUACUUGGAGAUCUUCAUAACACCUUAAGGGAAAAAUCCUUUUUGAAAGAAAAACAAGUCUGGGUGGUGCUUGAAAAUUCAGAAGGCAGCUAGAAACUCUGCCAAUUACAACUGGUGAUUGCUGAGUUCUGGAGACAGACUGGGCUUCUGCUUUCUUUUGGUGGAGGUGUCUGCUUGCAGAAAAUUUAUGUUCUGGGAUUUACAACUUCAGGGAGACAAAGGAAACUCCAGCUCAUCUCCCACAUCAUUGAUUGAGAGGACCAUUUUCUGACUGUCUGCACACGUUUCCUAUACUACCCUUUAAUGCAACAAUGGGAUGAAGAGAUGAAGACUUCUAGCAGGCUACCUCAGAAAGGUUGCUGACCAAAGGCUGUAUGGACCAAAAAGUCAUAACACCACCCUGGAUGAAAGGACAUUUACCUAAGGAAUUACCCGCUCUCAAUUCUUCCCAGGGAUGGGCAUUUGAAUUAUUUCCAGUUUUUGGCUAUUAUGAAAAAAACUGCUAUGAACAUUCAUACACAAGUGUGUGUGUGGACCCAUGUUUUCACUGAUCAAGGCCUAAAUACCUACGGUAAGUAUACAUUUAACCUUAUAAGAAAAUGCAAAACUAUUUUUCCAAAGUAGUAUCAUUUUACAUUUCUUCUAACAACAUAUGAGAAUGGCAGUUGCUCUACUAAUAUGGUUUGGCUUUGUGUCCCCACC
rnacentral:lncRNA from 1 species